GACGAACGCUGGCGGCGUGCUUAACACAUGCAAGUCGAACGGUGAAGGGACUGGUUUUUGCUGGUUCUGGAUGAGUGGCGAACGGGUGAGUAACACGUGAGUAACCUGCCCCCUUCUUCUGGAUAACCGCAUGAAAGUGUGGCUAAUACGGGAUAUUCUGCGCCUGCUGCAUGGUGGGUGUGGGAAAGAUGCGCCUUUGGGUGUUUUUGGUGGGGGAUGGGCUCGCGGCCUAUCAGCUUGUUGGUGGGGUGAUGGCCUACCAAGGCGGUGACGGGUAGCCGGCCUGAGAGGGUGGACGGUCACACUGGGACUGAGACACGGCCCAGACUCCUACGGGAGGCAGCAGUGGGGAAUAUUGCACAAUGGGCGCAAGCCUGAUGCGGCGAC
rnacentral:rRNA from 1 species